rnacentral:rRNA from 1 species
GACAGAGGGUGCAAACGUUGUUCGGAAUUACUGGGCGUAAAGCGUGUGUAGGCGGUCCGCUAAGUCGGGUGUGAAAGCCCUGGGCUCAACCCAGGAAGUGCACUCGAAACUGGCGGGCUAGAGUAUCGGAGAGGUUGGUGGAAUUCUCGGGUGUAGUGGUGAAAUGCGUAGAGAUCGGGAGGAACACCCGUGGCGAAGGCGGCCAACUGGGCCGGACCUGACGCUGAGGCGCGAAGGCGUGGGGAGCGAACGGG